AUCUUUUAAGAUUCUCUAUAUAGUUGCUCCCACAGUGAUUUAAGAUCUGGGAAAUACAAUAAGCCAAUCUCUAGUCAAAGUUAGAUUAAUUUCGGUAUCGACAGUACCCAAAACAAGACCUUUAACAUGGAGAGGAUAGGAGAUAAUGAGAUUAUGAAACCUAUUUAGGACUGGCAGACAGAACAACAGUAAUAGUAUCAGGUUACAGGAUCCUUGAUUGAACUCGAUGCUUUGCCCUUCCCAGAAUUGUCCAGUGCUUCAGAGAUCACCAGUCCUGAUCACACUGUGUCAACAAGUAAGCCCGUCUAGUUUUAAUUUAGGAUAUUUGGAAAUAUCCUACAUUUCCUACAUUUGGAAAAUCUUUUGAAAAAGAGGCAGAGGUCUAAGUUGCUGAGGAUGGUCUCAAACUCCUGGCCUCAAGCGAUCCUCCCACCUUGGCCUCGGGUACGGGGGAGUUUUCCAGAAGCUACGUGACAUGUGAUAUAUCACAACACAUUGAGUACAGAACCACAUAUGUGAAUCCAACUGUCUUCUCUUAUGCUGGACAUUAAAAAAGACUUGCAGAAACAUACAU